rnacentral:rRNA from 1 species
UACGUAGGGGGCAAGCGUUGUCCGUAUUUACUGGGCGUAAAGCGCGUGUAGGCGGCUACGCAGGUCCGUUGUGAAAACUGGAGGCUCAACCUCCAGACGUCGACGGAAACCGUGUGGCUAGAGUCCGGAAGAGGAGAGUGGAAUUCCUGGUGUAGCGGUGAAAUGCGCAGAUAUCAGGAAGAACACCAAUGGCGAAGGCAGCUCUCUGGGACGGUACUGACGCUGAGACGCGAAAGCGUGGGGAGCGAACAGG